AUUGAACGCUGGCGGCGUGCUUUACACAUGCAAGUCGAACGGCAGCACGGGCUUCGGCCUGGUGGCGAGUGGCGAACGGGUGAGUAAUAUAUCGGAACGUACCCAAGAGUGGGGGAUAACGUAGCGAAAGUUACGCUAAUACCGCAUACGAUCUAUGGAUGAAAGUGGGGGAUCGCAAGACCUCAUGCUCCUGGAGCGGCCGAUAUCUGAUUAGCUAGUUGGUGAGGCAAAGGCUCACCAAGGCGACGAUCAGUAGCUGGUCUGAGAGGACGACCAGCCACACUGGAACUGAGACACGGUCCAGACUCCUACGGGAGGCAGCAGUGGGGAAUUUUGGACAAUGGGCGCAAGCCUGAUCCAGCAAUGCCGCGUGAGUGAAGAAGGCCUUCGGGUUGUAAAGCUCUUUUGUCAGGGAAGAAACGGUGGGAGCUAAUAUCUCCUACUAAUGACGGUACCUGAAGAAUAAGCACCGGCUAACUACGUGCCAGCAGCCGCGGUAAUACAUAGGGUGCAAGCGUUAAUCGGAAUUACUGGGCGUAAAGCGUGCGCAGGCGGUUUUGUAAGUCUGACGUGAAAGCCCCGGGCUCAACCUGGGAAUUGCGUUGGAGACUGCAAGGCUUGAAUCUGGCAGAGGGGGGUAGAAUUCCACGUGUAGCAGUGAAAUGCGUAGAGAUGUGGAGGAACACCGAUGGCGAACGCAGCCCCCUGGGUCAAGAUUGACGCUCAUGCACGAAGGCGUGGGGAGCAAACAGG
rnacentral:rRNA from 1 species